rnacentral:rRNA from 1 species
GCCCAACUUGAAAAUCUCCCUCUGGAGAAUUGUAGUCUAUAGAAGUGCCCUCUGUAUCGGGCGGAGCUCAAGUCCGCUGGAAAGCGGCGUCAGAGAGGGUGAGAACCCCGUCGGCUCCUGUCUCGGUGCUCCACGAGGUACUUUCCACGAGUCGGGUUGUUUGGGAAUGCAGCCCUAAUUUGGUGGUAAAUCCCAUCUAAGGCUAAAUAUUGGCGAGAGACCGAUAGCGAACAAGUACCGUGAGGGAAAGAUGAAAAGAACUUUGAAAAGAGAGUCAAAAAGUGCUUGAAAUUGUUGAGGGGGAAGCGGUUGGACGUCGUGUGUGCGCCCAGGCUCAAGCGGUUCUAACGAGCCGUUGAAUGUGCUGGGUGCUGGUCAACUCGGGUCGCUUUGGCGGGACAACAGCAGGGAACGUAGGUAGCCCGGCCGAUGCCGCCUCGGCGACCAAGGCGUAAUGGACGCUCAGACCUUCGGGAUCCGCGUCCAAAAGGAGUUGGCAAAAGACUUUCAACCGGCCCGUCUUGAAACACGGACCAAGGAGUCCAACAUGUAUGCGAGUUGGCGGGUGGCAAACCCGUAAGCGCAAGUAACCUGACUGGUGGGAUGGCUUCUAGCCUGCACCAUCGACCGACCAUGAGCUUCUGCGAAAGGUUUGAGUGCGAGCAUACCUGUUGGGACCCGAAAGAUGGUGAACUAUGCCUGAGCAGGGUGAAGCCAGAGG